AAGCCGUUGCUUUCCCCCGUCCCGCUCGGAUCUCCUCCUGCUACAAAUAAUCGUUGGCGGCCGAGCCCUAAGCCCCACGGCGCAAGCGCGCAGAUCCUCUCUCUCUCUCUCUCGGCUCUCCUCUCCGCUGCCUCUCCACGCCGAUCUCGAUCGAGCACCUGGGGAGACCACGAGACGCGCGCCCUGCUUCGCUUCCCGCAUCACAGCUCUCAAGUUCUCUGCCUCUCUUUUUUUUUUCAGUUUUUCAAGUAAUCCGAUUGUUGUAGUUGCAUCUUCAAUUUACCAUUUUAAUUAAUUUGCGUUUGAUCUGUUAGUUCCAUUGCUUCUUCUUUGAUUGCGGUUAGUAUAGUUUCGCUGUUUGUUGCUCCGUGCUUCUUGUUGUUCUGUUGCUUCUAACCAUGGACGCAGGCACCUACUCCAUCUCAUCAGAGAAGAGCCACAAGGCGGCGAAGGCAGCGGCGGCGCCACGGCCGCCUCUCCAGGAGGCCGGCUCUCAGCCCUACAUGCCGUCGCUGAGCACGGGGUCGCGCAACCCGUCGGCCAAGUGCUACGGCGAUAGGUUCAUCCCAGACAGGUCGGCGAUGGAUAUGGACGUGGCGCAGUACCUGCUCACGGAGCCCAGGAAGGACAAGGAGAACGCGGCAGCGGCGGCAUCCCCAUCCAAGGAGAUGUACCGGAGGCUGCUCGCCGAGAAGCUGCUCAACAACCGGACGCGGAUCCUCGCCUUCAGGAACAAGCCGCCUGAGCCUGAAAACGUCUCAGCAACCAUCGCGGCUUCCGCCCACCACGCCAAGCCGGCCAAGCAGCGGCGACACAUUCCCCAGUCUGCUGAGAGGACUCUGGACGCACCAGAGCUCGUUGAUGACUACUACCUCAACCUCCUUGACUGGGGGAGCAACAACGUGCUGUCCAUUGCUCUGGGCGACACGGUGUACCUGUGGGAUGCCUCCACUGGAUCCACGUCUGAGCUUGUGACCAUCGACGAGGACAGCGGUCCCAUCACCAGCGUUAGCUGGGCUCCAGACGGCAAGCAUAUCGCUGUUGGGCUCAACUCGUCUGAUGUCCAGCUCUGGGACACCAGCUCCAACCGACUGUUGAGAACUCUCAGAGGUGUGCAUGAGGCAAGAGUUGGCUCACUGGCAUGGAACAACAGCAUCCUCACCACUGGCGGCAUGGAUGGCAAGAUCGUGAACAACGACGUGAGGAUUAGGAACCAUGUCGUGCAGACGUACGAGGGGCACAGUCAGGAGGUGUGUGGGCUCAAGUGGUCUGGAUCAGGGCAGCAGCUGGCCAGCGGGGGUAAUGACAACCUUCUGCACAUUUGGGACGUGUCGAUGGCAUCCUCCAUGCCAUCCGCUGGCCGCAACCAGUGGCUGCACAGGCUUGAGGACCACACAGCUGCUGUUAAGGCACUCGCAUGGUGUCCGUUCCAGAGCAACUUGCUGGCAACCGGUGGUGGUGGUAGUGAUAGAUGCAUCAAGUUUUGGAACACGCACACCGGUGCAUGUCUGAACUCUGUUGACACCGGAUCACAGGUCUGUGCCCUUCUCUGGAACAAGAAUGAGAGAGAGCUGCUGAGUUCACACGGAUUUACACAGAACCAGCUAACAUUGUGGAAGUACCCAUCAAUGGUAAAGAUGGCUGAACUCACUGGCCAUACUUCUCGUGUCCUUUUCAUGGCUCAGAGCCCUGAUGGUUGCACAGUAGCAUCAGCCGCUGCAGAUGAGACCCUUCGGUUCUGGAACGUGUUUGGAGCCCCUGAAGCGCCCAAGCCGGUCAAGGCUUCCCACACUGGGAUGUUCAACAGCUUCAACCAUAUCCGAUAGGAUGAAUCGUGAGAACAAUCUCCUCUGAUAGGAUGAAUCGUGAGAACAAUCUCCUCUGUUAGAUAUGGUCGUGCAGCAUAUACUACAUGAUCGACUCUUAUUGAUGAGAUUUAUAUCCACCUUGACUAAGCAGUAAGCACACAACAUCAGCGAGCAUUGCCAUCAUAUACAUCAUUUAGCAAUGCUACUCAGAAAUCCAGGACCAGGACCGUGAAAGGGUUCGAUUAAUCUGCAACAUCGCAAGCACCAGGACCAUGAAAUCCAAGGGGGGCUGUGUGAGAUGAGAUACAAUUAGGCCCUGUUUUUUGGAGCUUCGGGCGGUUCUGGCGCUAACUCCUCUGUGCACUAUAGCGAAGAGCUGUUUUUCCCUUGUCUAUUAGAACUAGGAGCCGGUAUAGCCACUAUUUUUUGCUUCACUUAGCUCUCUGUAAGUGUGUAUACGCCACUAUUAAAUUUAGAUGCAGCAUCAAGGGGCCUAUGUGAUGCGGCAAUUGCUGUAAAUCACGUCACAAGCAUUAUUUAUUUUCAUAAUUUACAAUGUGUCCUCCA